UCCAUCGUCUAAUCUCAGAUUCCAAUCCUAGUCUCAGUAUAACAGUGAUCUUUAAAACUGAUGAUAAUAACACUGUAGGAUACAAUUAGUAUUGUUAAAUUAGAAUUUAUUGAUAUACCAUAGUUAAAAUAAGGAUGGUUUUCAGCUUUGGUCAGUAUACAGAAGUUCCCGCCCAGAUCUCUGGGCAAGAUACAGUCAUCAGAACCGUGAUGGACUUUAUCAAAAAUGUCAGCUAAAAUAUCAUCCCAUUAUUUUCUAAGAGUCUUUUUUUUUUUUAAUGUAUGAGCGUUUUGGCCACAUAUAUGUCUGGGUAUCACAAGUGUGCCUGGUGCUCAGAGAGUUCAGAAGAGGCCGUUGGAUUCUCUGGAACUGGAAUUAUAGAUGGUUUUGAGCCCCCAUGUGGGUGCUGGGAAUCAAACCCAGAUCCCCUAAAAGAAAAGCCAGUGUUUUCAACUGCUGAGCCAUGUCUCCAGCCCCCCUCCCAAAUUACUUAAAGUCUGUUAUAAAUGACUUUAUUGAGGGUGAGGCAGCACAAACCUUUAAUCCCAGCAUUCAGGAGGCAGAGGCAGACAGGUAUCUGUGAGUCUGAUGCUGGACUCAUUUACAUAGUGAGCUCCUGGCCAGUCAUAGCUAGACAGUGAGAUUCUGUCUCAAGAACAUAGAUACUAAUUAAUAAUUAAAGACGGAAAGAAAGAAAAAGAACUCCCAUACUGUUUUCAGGUCUGAAUUUCAUCAACCUUAUAAAAAAAAUUUCUGCCUCUUACAUUUAAAAAUUUUAAACAACAAUAUUAAGCAUGGUGAACAUUGAUUCUUAAAAUCAGUCGACUAGCUAACCUGAUCAUGAGUCCCCCUACUUGUAUUUGAUUAGGUAUAAAAUGAAACCAGCUGCGAUGUUUUAAAGCCAUGAAUGGCAUCAAGAAAUAUCAUGCAAACCAAUUCAACUGUUUAUAAACCGAGGAUUCCUGUGGGACCCAGUGCCCUGACUUGAUGUUUUUUUUUUUUUUAAAUGAGAAGAGUCAAGCUCUGUUCAGACUUGAAUUAUGCACUUUGCAUAAGCCAUGCCAUUUAACUUUAACCCACAGGCCUGGAGAUAAAAUUAGCUCCUCCUGCAGAAUACAGAGGCCAUGGGCAAGCAAGAGCAUAAGUCAGAGGAAGACGUCUGCAGCCCUGCUCUGGUCUCUAGCUUGUCCUUGCCGAAUUGUUUUGGGAACCUUGUGUUUGACUUGUCAGAGCCUACAGUUUUCAUCGGAGGAAAAGGGAUUCUCAUUUAAGCUGAUGUCUGUGCAUAUUCCCCGAGGAUGAGUGAGGGGCCUGCCAUUCUUUUAAAAUCCUAAGCAAAUGUAUAUCUUUGCCACUUGUAAUCGUGAUAAAGCUUAAAUAAUUCAGGCAUGAGCAUGGCUUUUGCUAUGCCCAGUAUAAAACAAGAUUUAUUAGUGGACAGCAUCUACCCAGACUCAUUCCCUAGAAUAUUUACAGCUAGAAUUCAUGUUCGUUCAAACCAUGUAGGCUUGGUAAAUAUAUCAUUUGCUCACUGUUUGAGACAUCACAAAAUAACAUCCAAUAUCUGUCUUUUUGUUCAUUUUGACAAAGAGUAAACAAGGAUGCCCAAGAGAGAGGUGUGGAAACUCUUAGACCUGGCACCUCGUUGUAAGGAGUAUAAGUGUGGGACCCAACCACAGCUUCCACCCUUCCCUAUAAAGCCAUGGUUCUCAACCUGCUGCAUAUCAGAUAUCCUGCAUAGCAGACAUUUACAUUAUGAUUCAUAACAGUAACAAAAUUACAGUUGUGAAGUAGCAACAAAAGUAAUUUACGGUUGAGGGUCACCACUACACGAGGAACUGAAUUAAAAGGGUCGCACACGGCAUCAGGAAGGCUGAGAGCCGAGGCUAUAAAGGAAUGUACACUGUUCACUCACUCGUCUCCAGGGAACCUGGGAUGGAUGACCGCUGCUGUCACUGUCAUUUAUUAUCCCAGACUGAGGAGGCACUCACUGGGCUCAGUAGUCACCACUGAUUCUGUAUCUUGAUAGUAGGUUGUGAACCUGUAACGUGAAUGUCCAGCCUUCAGAUGUCAUUCAUGGGACUAUCUCAACAGGCUGUGUGUGUCCCAUGCCAAGCUAUUUCCUUUAACUUUCUACUCAUCUUGAAGGGAUCCUAUACCUACUGCAUUGCAAGCUCUCUCCAAGAAGAGGAUAUGACUGUAUUCACUCCAGCUGACUUCCUUCCUUAGCACAAGGACUGUUUGAUUUGCAGAAGCAGACGAUUUAUUCGACGAUUCAUUCACCGUGCAGCCGCACUGCCUAAGUGCAUGGAAUGCCUUCGACUGCCUGGUUGCAGAAUUUGGAGUUUGCUAAGCAGUGGUUAGUGAUUGGGCUCAUCUUGCAUCACCAGUUGAUGACAUUUUUCUUUGUUCCCUCCUACCCAGUUGAACCAAGACUCUGAGGCUGAUAUGCAAUGUCACUUACAACAUUAAUCAGAUACUGCAUUUAAGGCUUUCAAGCUGUUCAGCGUACAAUUUUUGGUGUGUGUGACAACCGCAUCUCUAAAACUUGUGAGCAAGAAGACGGAGAAAUCAGUCGGUCUCCAUCGCCUUGCAUAAAGAUGGCCGAGGGUCUUGUCAUGCUAGCAGGUCUCUGAGUGGUGCGUACAGAAAUUCAAACCAGACUCACUUGCCCCAGGCAUGGCUCUUUUUCUCUCACUGAAGGACCUGGCCUGAGAAGUUGUUCCUUCUGGAGGUCAUCUGGGGAGUCAACUGCAGACUCAUGCUUAAUUCCUGGUUUAGUUCCCUUCCACCAAACCAACUGCUUUCAGUUGCAGGGAAACUUAGCUGGCUUUUAGAAAUAAAAGAUCAGACAGAAAGUGGCUGAGGCCUUUUUUCUUUUAAUGCAAAAUAAAAAAAUUUUAGUAGGAAUAUGGGGUAGGGUGUUUGCCUAGCAUACGUAAGGCCUUGGGUUCAGACCUCAGCAAUGCCAAAAUAAGAAAAUAAAACUUCAACAAACUGAGUUUAAAGAUGGUGUUGACUUUGCUGGCGUUCACUAAAGAUCUGUGACUCAGGCAGCCCCUGAUCUAUAAAAACCAUGGGCUGCGUUGGACCUGGAAGAGGAGCCAGAUUGUACAGGGCAGCUUGAGCGAGAACAGAGAGGUUCACGUUGGGCUUCUUCAGGUUUCUUCCCUUGUGAGGGUUAAAGCAGAGGGACUUCCUUAUCUGGCCACCAGAGCUGGCCUACUUCAGGACGAUCUACUGAUUUCUCAGAAGGUCAAGCACUAACCUUAAUUCCGGUUUAGUAUUUGGGACCUUAGUGAGAG
ensembl:lncRNA